AGAGUUUUGAUCAUGGCUCAGAUUGAACGCUGGCGGCAUUGCGUUUACACAUGCAAGUCGAACGGCAGCGCGGGGGCAACCCUGGCGGCGAGUGGCGAACGGGUGAGUAAUGCAUCGGAACGUAUCCUGUAAUGGGGGAUAACGUAGCGAAAGUUACGCUAAUACCGCAUACGCUCGAGAGAGGAAAGUGGGGGAUCGCAAGACCUCACGUUAUAGGAGCGGCCGAUGUCCGAUUAGCUAGUUGGUGGGGUAAAGGCCUACCAAGGCGACGAUCGGUAGCUGGUCUGAGAGGAUGAUCAGCCACACUGGGACUGAGACACGGCCCAGACUCCUACGGGGAGGCAGCAGUGGGGAAUUUUUGGACAAUGGGCGAAAGCCUGAUCCAGCCAUGCCGCGUGCGGGAAGAAGGCCUUCGGGUUGUAAACCGCUUUAGUCCGGGAAAAAGGGGUGCGAGGAUAAUACCCUCGUGCUUUGAUGGUACUGGAAGAAUAAGCACCGGCUAACUACGUG
rnacentral:rRNA from 1 species